CGUGCCAGCAGCCGCGGUAAUACGGAGGGUGCAAGCGUUGUCCGGAAUCAUUGGGUGUAAAGGGUGCGUAGGCGGAGGUCUAAGUCUGAGGUGAAAUCUUGCCGCUUAACGGUAAAAUGGCCUUGGAUACUGGAUCUCUUGAGUGUAGAAGAGGCAGGUGGAAUUCGUAGUGUAGCGGUGAAAUGCAUAGAUAUUACGA
rnacentral:rRNA from 1 species